AGCGAACGCUGGCGGCAGGCUUAACACAUGCAAGUCGAACGCAUCCUUCGGGGUGAGUGGCAGACGGGUGAGUAACACGUGGGAACGUACCCUUCGAUCUGGGAUAACUUCGGGAAACUGGAGCUAAUACCGGAUACGCCCUUUUGGGGAAAGGUUUACUGUCGAAGGAUCGGCCCGCGUCUGAUUAGCUAGUUGGUGGGGUAACGGCCUACCAAGGCGACGAUCAGUAGCUGGUCUGAGAGGAUGAUCAGCCACACUGGGACUGAGACACGGCCCAGACUCUUACGGGAGGCAGCAGUGGGGAAUAUUGGACAAUGGGCGCAAGCCUGAUCCAGCCAUGCCGCGUGAGUGAUGAAGGCCUUAGGGUUGUAAAGCUCUUUUGUCCGGGACGAUAAUGACGGUACCGGAAGAAUAAGCCCCGGCUAACUUCGUG
rnacentral:rRNA from 1 species